GCUCAGGACGAACGCUGGCGGCGUGCCUAAUACAUGCAAGUCGAACGAACUCUGGUAUUGAUUGGUGCUUGCAUCAUGAUUUACAUUUGAGUGAGUGGCGAACUGGUGAGUAACACGUGGGAAACCUGCCCAGAAGCGGGGGAUAACACCUGGAAACAGAUGCUAAUACCGCAUAACAACUUGGACCGCAUGGUCCGAGCUUGAAAGAUGGCUUCGGCUAUCACUUUUGGAUGGUCCCGCGGCGUAUUAGCUAGAUGGUGGGGUAACGGCUCACCAUGGCAAUGAUACGUAGCCGACCUGAGAGGGUAAUCGGCCACAUUGGGACUGAGACACGGCCCAAACUCCUACGGGAGGCAGCAGUAGGGAAUCUUCCACAAUGGACGAAAGUCUGAUGGAGCAACGCCGCGUGAGUGAAGAAGGGUUUCGGCUCGUAAAACUCUGUUGUUAAAGAAGAACAUAUCUGAGAGUAACUGUUCAGGUAUUGACGGUAUUUAACCAGAAAGCCACGGCUAACUACGUGCCAGCAGCCGCGGUAAUACGUAGGUGGCAAGCGUUGUCCGGAUUUAUUGGGCGUAAAGCGAGCGCAGGCGGUUUUUUAAGUCUGAUGUGAAAGCCUUCGGCUCAACCGAAGAAGUGCAUCGGAAACUGGGAAACUUGAGUGCAGAAGAGGACAGUGGAAC
rnacentral:rRNA from 2 species